GCAAUAAGAUUGAAACAAUGAACUCUAUUCCUUUCUCCAUAUCUUCAAGAAUAUCUGAACAGAUAAAAUCAAUUACAACUACAAUUGAAACGCACUUCAAUUUACUAGGAACAAAAGAAUUGGCAAAAUCUUCAGUUUACAUUGUCAUCUUUAUAGUUUGAUUUUCUUCUUUCCCUAGGAUAGAUUCCUCAAGCUUUCAUGCUCAUUCUCAUUAUUUUCUUUCUCUACAAUAAGAUCCUCAAAAUUUUCCAACUUAGUCUUGUCAUCUUGGAUGUCAACAUGUAAAGGCUAAACAUUUAAAGCUAAAGGCUCAACAACCAAUGUUUCAGAUUCUUCAAGUUGCUCUUCAUGUUCAUUAUGAAAUUUUGUAAUUGCAUCCUUUUGAGUUGUAAUUACAUCUUUAGGAAAUCUCAAUAGCUCUUCCAACUUUACUCUUAACCUACCCAAAGUUUCUUCAAGAUGCAUUACGCCUUUUUCUUGAGAUUUUUCUUGAAAUCAAAUAUUUGAGUAACAUCAUAAGCCGAAUAGUUAGCCUUAUUUGUGGCUUAAUUAAAAAAAAAAUUCCAAUAUACUUGUUGAAACAUAUAUUCCUUCUUUCAUGCUUCAAGUUUUUUCUCCCUUACUCGUAAAAGUUAUUUUGACAGUUCGAUAUUCAUAAAAUAAGUUAGGAG
rnacentral:misc_RNA from 1 species